UCCAGCACUGUGCAGAGACCAGGUGAGUUCCAGGGCCGUGUAUCGUGUAGGCCACGGACAGGUCAGGAGAAGCCGCCGAUGAAAGAGGACCAUGUAGCCCACGGCCAGCCCCAGUAGCAGCCACAGACGUCAGGUGAGGGCCUAGUACCGUGUAGGCCACGGACAGGUCCGGAGAAGCCACCGACGAAAGCCGAGUCUUCAGCCCAGCUGGGAGCAGUCAGCCCGGUGGGGGGAGAGAGGCGCGAAAGCCCGGUCGCAAGAGACGGCCGAGAGCGGGGAAAGCCCGGACGUGAGAGGAAGUCCGGCCCUGAGCAAAGAGUGGGUCCUCGCGAGAG